rnacentral:rRNA from 1 species
UCAAGUUAUUAAGGGUGCAGGGCGGAUGCCUUGGCACUAGGAGCCGAUGAAGGACGUGAUAAGCUGCGAUAAGCUUCGGGGAGUUGCACGUAAACUUUGAUCCGAAGAUUUCCGAAUGAGGAAACUCACUUAGAGUAAUGUCUAAGUAUCAUUAAGUGAAUACAUAGCUUAAUGAGGGGAACUCAGGGAACUGAAACAUCUAAGUACCUGAAGGAAGAGAAAGAAAUUCGAUUCCGUAAGUAGCGGCGAGCGAACGCGGAUUAGCCCAAACCAAUAAAGUUUUCUUUAUUGGGGUUGCGGACAUAUCAUAACGAAGAGAUAUCGUAAUUGAAGAGGUUUGGAAAGACCACCACAGAAGGUAAUAGUCCUGUACGUUAAACGAGAAGACUUUAGAUAUGAUCCAGAGUACCACGGGACACGUGUAAACCCUGUGGGAAGCAGGAGGGACCACCCUCCAAGGCUAAAUACUACCUAGUGACCGAUAGCGUAUAGUACCGUGAGGGAAAGGUGAAAAGAACCCCGGGAGGGGAGUGAAAUAGAACCUGAAACCCUGCACUUACAAGCUGUGGAAGCACAUUUCUUGUGUGACCGCGUACUUUUUGUAGAACGGGCCAACGAGUUACGUUAAGUAGCAAGGUUAAGCACUUAAGGUGUGGAGCCGUAGCGAAAGCGAGUUUUAACUGAGCGUUCAGUUACUUGACGUAGACCCGAAACCGGGCGACCUACCCAUGAGCAGGAUGAAGCGAAAGUAAAAUUUCGUGGAGGUCCGAACCCACGAGCGUUGAAAAGCUCGGGGAUGACUUGUGGGUAGCGGUGAAAUUCCAAUCGAGCCCGGUAGAUAGCUGGUUCUCCCCGAAAUAGCUUUAGGGCUAGCCUCAAGGUGAGAGAUACGGAGGUAGAGCACCUGAAUGUCCUAGGGGGUAUUGUCACCUACCGAAGACUAUCAAACUCCGAAUGCCGUCAUCUUAUACUUGGGAGUCAGACUGUGGGUGAUAAGAUUCAUAGUCGAAAGGGCAACAGCCCAGAUCGUCAGCUAAGGUCCCUAAAUGUAAGUUAAGUGGUAAAGGAUGUGGGAUUGCACAGACAACCAGG